UACGGAGGGUGCAAGCGUUAAUCGGAAUUACUGGGCGUAAAGCGCGCGCAGGCGGUCCUUUAAGUCUGGUGUGAAAGCCCACGGCUCAACCGGGGAGGGUCAUUGGAAACUGGGGGACUUGAGUGCAGGAGAGAAGAGUGGAAUUCCACGUGUAGCGGUGAAAUGCGUAGAGAUGUGGAGGAACACCAGUGGCGAAGGCGACUCUGUGGCCUGUAACUGACGCUGAGGCGCGAAAGCGUGGGGAGCAAACAGG
rnacentral:rRNA from 1 species